CCCCAGACUCCUACGGGAGGCAGCAGUGAGGAAUAUUGGUCAAUGGCCGGAAGGCUGAACUAGCCAAGUCGCGUGAGGGACGACUGCCCUAUGGGUUGUAAACCUCUUUUAUAAGGGAAGAAUAAAUGCUACGUGUAGCAUGAUGCCUGUACCUUAUGAAUAAGGAUCGGCUAACUCCGUGCCAGCAGCCGCGGUAAUACGGAGGAUCCGAGCGUUAUCCGGAUUUAUUGGGUUUAAAGGGAGCGUAGAUGGGUUGUUAAGUCAGUUGUGAAAGUUUGCGGCUCAACCGUAAAAUUGCAAUUGAUACUGGCAGCCUUGAGUACAGUUGAGGUAGGCGGAAUUCGUGGUGUAGCGGUGAAAUGCUUAGAUAUCACGAAGAACUCCGAUUGCGAAGGCAGCAUACGGCAGCGCUACUGACGCUGAAGCUCGAAGGCGCGGGUAUCGAACAGGAUUAGAUACCCGAGUA
rnacentral:rRNA from 1 species